AUUGAACGCUGGCGGCAUGCUUUACACAUGCAAGUCGAACGGUAACAGGCCUUCGGGUGCUGACGAGUGGCGAACGGGUGAGUAAUGCAUCGGAACGUACCCAGAGGUGGGGGAUAACGCAGCGAAAGCUGUGCUAAUACCGCAUGUGAUCUGAGGAUGACAGCGGGGGACCGAGCAGCAAUGUUUGGCCUCGCGCCUUUGGAGCGGCCGAUGUCGGAUUAGCUAGUUGGUGGGGUAAAGGCCUACCAAGGCGACGAUCCGUAGCUGGUCUGAGAGGACGACCAGCCACACUGGGACUGAGACACGGCCCAGACUCCUACGGGAGGCAGCAGUGGGGAAUUGUGGACAAUGGGCGCAAGCCUGAUCCAGCAAUGCCGCGUGCGGGAAGAAGGCCUUCGGGUUGUAAACCGCUUUUGGCAGGAACGAAACGGUGUCCGCUAAUACCGGGCGCUAAUGACGGUACCUGCAGAAUAAGCACCGGCUAACUACGUG
rnacentral:rRNA from 1 species